UUAAGCGACUAAGCGUACACGGUGGAUGCCCUGGCAGUCAGAGGCGAUGAAGGACGUGCUAAUCUGCGAUAAGCGUCGGUAAGGUGAUAUGAACCGUUAUAACCGGCGAUUUCCGAAUGGGGAAACCCAGUGUGUUUCGACACACUAUCAUUAACUGAAUCCAUAGGUUAAUGAGGCGAACCGGGGGAACUGAAACAUCUAAGUACCCCGAGGAAAAGAAAUCAACCGAGAUUCCCCCAGUAGCGGCGAGCGAACGGGGAGCAGCCCAGAGCCUGAAUCAGUGUGUGUGUUAGUGGAAGCGUCUGGAAAGGCGCGCGAUACAGGGUGACAGCCCCGUACACAAAAAUGCACAUGCUGUGAGCUCGAUGAGUAGGGCGGGACACGUGGUAUCCUGUCUGAAUAUGGGGGGACCAUCCUCCAAGGCUAAAUACUCCUGACUGACCGAUAGUGAACCAGUACCGUGAGGGAAAGGCGAAAAGAACCCCGGCGAGGGGAGUGAAAAAGAACCUGAAACCGUGUACGUACAAGCAGUGGGAGCACGCUUAGGCGUGUGACUGCGUACCUUUUGUAUAAUGGGUCAGCGACUUAUAUUCUGUAGCAAGGUUAACCGAAUAGGGGAGCCGAAGGGAAACCGAGUCUUAACUGGGCGUUAAGUUGCAGGGUAUAGACCCGAAACCCGGUGAUCUAGCCAUGGGCAGGUUGAAGGUUGGGUAACACUAACUGGAGGACCGAACCGACUAAUGUUGAAAAAUUAGCGGAUGACUUGUGGCUGGGGGUGAAAGGCCAAUCAAACCGGGAGAUAGCUGGUUCUCCCCGAAAGCUAUUUAGGUAGCGCCUCGUGAAUUCAUCUCCGGGGGUAGAGCACUGUUUCGGCAAGGGGGUCAUCCCGACUUACCAACCCGAUGCAAACUGCGAAUACCGGAGAAUGUUAUCACGGGAGACACACGGCGGGUGCUAACGUCCGUCGUGAAGAGGGAAACAACCCAGACCGCCAGCUAAGGUCCCAAAGUCAUGGUUAAGUGGGAAACGAUGUGGGAAGGCCCAGACAGCCAGGAUGUUGGCUUAGAAGCAGCCAUCAUUUAAAGAAAGCGUAAUAGCUCACUGGUCGAGUCGGCCUGCGCGGAAGAUGUAACGGGGCUAAACCAUGCACCGAAGCUGCGGCAGCGACGCUGAUGCGUUGUUGGGUAGGGGAGCGUUCUGUAAGCCUGCGAAGGUGUGCUGUGAGGCAUGCUGGAGGUAUCAGAAGUGCGAAUGCUGACAUAAGUAACGAUAAAGCGGGUGAAAAGCCCGCUCGCCGGAAGACCAAGGGUUCCUGUCCAACGUUAAUCGGGGCAGGGUGAGUCGACCCCUAAGGCGAGGCCGAAAGGCGUAGUCGAUGGGAAACAGGUUAAUAUUCCUGUACUUGGUGUUACUGCGAAGGGGGGACGGAGAAGGCUAUGUUGGCCGGGCGACGGUUGUCCCGGUUUAAGCGUGUAGGCUGGUUUUCCAGGCAAAUCCGGAAAAUCAAGGCUGAGGCGUGAUGACGAGGCACUACGGUGCUGAAGCAACAAAUGCCCUGCUUCCAGGAAAAGCCUCUAAGCAUCAGGUAACAUCAAAUCGUACCCCAAACCGACACAGGUGGUCAGGUAGAGAAUACCAAGGCGCUUGAGAGAACUCGGGUGAAGGAACUAGGCAAAAUGGUGCCGUAACUUCGGGAGAAGGCACGCUGAUAUGUAGGUGAAGCGACUUGCUCGUGGAGCUGAAAUCAGUCGAAGAUACCAGCUGGCUGCAACUGUUUAUUAAAAACACAGCACUGUGCAAACACGAAAGUGGACGUAUACGGUGUGACGCCUGCCCGGUGCCGGAAGGUUAAUUGAUGGGGUCAGCGCAAGCGAAGCUCUUGAUCGAAGCCCCGGUAAACGGCGGCCGUAACUAUAACGGUCCUAAGGUAGCGAAAUUCCUUGUCGGGUAAGUUCCGACCUGCACGAAUGGCGUAAUGAUGGCCAGGCUGUCUCCACCCGAGACUCAGUGAAAUUGAACUCGCUGUGAAGAUGCAGUGUACCCGCGGCAAGACGGAAAGACCCCGUGAACCUUUACUAUAGCUUGACACUGAACAUUGAGCCUUGAUGUGUAGGAUAGGUGGGAGGCUUAGAAGUGUGGACGCCAGUCUGCAUGGAGCCGACCUUGAAAUACCACCCUUUAAUGUUUGAUGUUCUAACGUUGACCCGUAAUCCGGGUUGCGGACAGUGUCUGGUGGGUAGUUUGACUGGGGCGGUCUCCUCCUAAAGAGUAACGGAGGAGCACGAAGGUUGGCUAAUCCUGGUCGGACAUCAGGAGGUUAGUGCAAUGGCAUAAGCCAGCUUGACUGCGAGCGUGACGGCGCGAGCAGGUGCGAAAGCAGGUCAUAGUGAUCCGGUGGUUCUGAAUGGAAGGGCCAUCGCUCAACGGAUAAAAGGUACUCCGGGGAUAACAGGCUGAUACCGCCCAAGAGUUCAUAUCGACGGCGGUGUUUGGCACCUCGAUGUCGGCUCAUCACAUCCUGGGGCUGAAGUAGGUCCCAAGGGUAUGGCUGUUCGCCAUUUAAAGUGGUACGCGAGCUGGGUUUAGAACGUCGUGAGACAGUUCGGUCCCUAUCUGCCGUGGGCGCUGGAGAACUGAGGGGGGCUGCUCCUAGUACGAGAGGACCGGAGUGGACGCAUCACUGGUGUUCGGGUUGUCAUGCCAAUGGCACUGCCCGGUAGCUAAAUGCGGAAGAGAUAAGUGCUGAAAGCAUCUAAGCACGAAACUUGCCCCGAGAUGAGUUCUCCCUGACUCCUUGAGAGUCCUGAAGGAACGUUGAAGACGACGACGUUGAUAGGCCGGGUGUGUAAGCGCAGCGAUGCGUUGAGCUAACCGGUACUAAUGAACCGUGAGGCUUAACCUU
rnacentral:rRNA from 1 species